UUUGCUUCUUGGCCUUUUGGCUCUGAUCAAGUGUAGUAUCUGUUUUUAUCUGAUUAAUAUCUGAAAGGGACCAUGUAUUAAAUAGUCUUUUGUUUUUUUUGGUACUGCUGGAUAGAACAGGUGCUUGCUUCGUCUGCUCCGUGCAUUGACCUGGUAUUGCAGCAGCUCCAGGAGCGAUGCACUUCCU